UUUUUUCUUUAAGGGACAAAAAUACCAGGAAAGAAAUGACAAGAGAAUCUGUUUUGGGAUCUGAUGAUGAGGACCUGUAUUCCAAGUUUAGAACACCAAACCCCAAAUCUGAUGACUAUUAUUACAAUGAGGUUGAUGAGUUUCAUGCUGCCAAAGACAAGAUUCUUUUAGGUGAAGAUGAUGCAGCUAGAU